UUGGAUAUCCCACACAGUGAGAAGAGAUUUGCUGGUUUCUCCAAGGAUAGCAAGCAACUUGACCCUGAGGUGCAUCGCAAGUAUAUCUAUGGCGGUCAUGUUGCUGCAUACAUGAGGGUGAGAGUUGAAAGUUGAAAGUUCAUGUCAUGCAUGCCCAUUUCACUUUUCUGGUGGAAAGCAUUGAUAUUUUUGGCUCAAAUUCUUAAGUGUUUGUUUUCUAGACCUUGAUUGAGAAUGAGUUGAGGAAAAGAGUUGAGAAGUCAGGUUAUGCAUGCCCAUUUUACUUUACUGGCCAUAGGACAUCAUAAUUGCUUGCUUAAACUUGUAUUUGUCUGUUUUUUAGACUUUGAUGGAGGAUGAGCCCGAGAAAUAUCAGACUCACUUCAGUGACUAUAUCAAGAAAGGAAUUGAAGCAGAUAACAUUGAGGCCGUGUACAAGAAAGUUCAGGCUGCCAUCCGUGCUGAUCCUACAGCAAAGAAGAUUGAAAAGCAACCUCCCAAAGAACACAAGAGGUAAAAAUGGAUUUUGUUUAAUGUUUCACAGUUAUGGAUGUUUUUAUAUGGAUCAUAGUUUCAGUGUCUGCAUGGUAUGAUCAGCUGAUUAUGCGUUCAGAUUUAUUAAUCAUUUGAAGGAUUGAAUAUUGGAAAGUUGCUUGCCAUUGUUUACUUUAUUUUGCUGUACUUCAGUGGUACAAGUGUAUAUCACCAAUACAAAAUCAUUAUAGGUGUUGGUGAGCUAUACAGUGUCAAAUCAUUUUAGUUAUUGGUUGGCUACAGUGUUGAAUCAUUUUGGAUCUUUAUUUGUUGUGUUUGAAUAAAGUGUGUUUGAAACUGGUUCUAUCACAUCCAACCAAAUUUGCUUUUUCGGGUAACAGGUACAACCUCAAGAAGCUUACAUAUGAGGAAAGGAAGAACAAGUUGAUUGAGCGAUUGAAUGCCUUUAACUCAGCUGCUCAAGACCACGACGAUGAUGAGUGAAAGUAUUAAUUGGGAUGCGAGAUCUAGUUUGUUUCCCCUUAGGACAUCUAUUUGAAGUAUCGGCCAUAAUAUCUAUAUUCUCUAUAUAUUUUAGACGUUUGGAUAUUGUUCUUGUUUGGAGGUUCAAGCCAGAAAUCCGACUAAAGUUUUGACGAUGUUAUUUAAGUUUUCGUGUUGGCUUUGCUACCUUGAGUAUUAUUUUUGUGUUGGUUUGCGUAUUUUCAAACAGUGGUUUUCCUAAUAGGAAGUGGCCAUUAGGUUAACGGGAAUGAAAAAGUAGGGGAAUGAAAUUAUGAUGGGUUCCUAAGGAAUGAGUAAUAUUUCCCCAAAGGAAUAAUCGUAGACCCUAUUUUGUAAGGUCAAUCCAACUUACUGGUGGUUAUGUUUUAUAAAAGUAGGAAUUAUUAUCUGAUUAUGUUUUUAAUCUGAAUAUGAAAAAAAUGUGAAUUUAUUAUAUUAUUUUUAUUUAAUUAAUAAUUUUAUUUAAUAAUAUGUGAGAAUUACGUGUAUAAUAUAUGAAUUUUUUGUGUCUUAUUGGUUUUGUUGUAAAAAAUAGGUUUAUUAAAGAUGAGAAAUACGUGCGUACGUGUAUAAUAUAUUAUUCAACGUGAAUGUGCCAGAUUCUUUAUAUGGGUAAUAAUUCUAGAAAAGUAAAAAAUGAAAAAGGGACAAUAGAUGAUUGAGUAAUGGCCUAAUAGUAAUGGAUGGGACUCUUGGGCUAUGGAGAAAUUUAAUUAGGACAUCCAGACGAUUUCACAAAAGACUUAGUAAAAUAGAAAUAAAUUAUUUUAUGGACUUUUUCUAUAAUUUUUUUAUACUAAUUAAAGUAAUUCAAAAAGGCUAAGAUGUUACUUAAUUACAUGUAUCAAAUUAAAGAAGUAGGCCAAAAAAUAAAAAGAAACUAAUUAUAUGUUUUUCAAAAUUUAAAAAAGGAAAAACAAUUAUAUUUUAUUUUGUUAAAACAUAUAGACGGACGGCUAUAUUAUUUAUAUAUUAAAAAAAGGGAGCCCAGCGAAUAGGUGCCAUGUGUCGAAAACGUAAAGCCGGGCAGCUAUACUUUUUUUUUUAAAAAAAAAUGGAAGGAAUCAAGUAUAGCCGGGCGGCUAUACUAUUUAUAAACGUAUAUAAAGACACGCACAGGGCAUAUGCACCACGUGUACUAUUUUUUUCAAAAAAAGAGUAUAGCCGGGCAGCUAAAAACUAAAUAUAGCCGGGCGGCUAUACUUCCUUUAAAAUAUGUAUAUCAUUUUUAUUCAAUAGUAUGUGAGAAUUACGCGUAUAAUACAUGAAUUUUUUGUGUCUUAUUGAUAUUGUUGUAAAAAAUAGGUGUAUUAAAGAUGAGAAAUACGUGCGUACGUGUAUAAUACAUUAUUAAACGCGAAGGUGCUAGAAUUUUAUACGAGUAAUAACUCUAGAAAAGUAGAAAAGGAAAAAAGGGACAAUUGAUGCUCAAGUAAUGGCCUAAUAGUAAUGGAUGGGGCUCUUAGGUCGUGGAGAAAUUUAAUUAGGACACCCAAACGAUUUCACCAAAGACUUAGUAAAAUAGAAAUUAAUUAUUUUGUGGAUUUUUUCUAUUAUUUUUUUAUACUAAUUAAUAAUUAAAAUAUAAUUUAUCAGGAGCCAAAGCGGACCGAGAAGAAAGAAGAAACGCAAGUUGUAAUUAAAGUAAUUCAAAAAGGCUAAGAUGUUACUUAAUUACAUGUAUUAAAUUAAAGAAGUAGGCCAAAAAAACAAAUGUAAAGAAACUAAUUAUAUGUUUUUUAAAUUUAAAAAAGAAAAAACAAUUAAUUUUUUUGUUAAAGAGUAUCGCCGGCCGGCUAUACUAUUUAUAUAUUUAAAAAAGGGAGCCCAGCGCAUAGGUGAAACGUGUCAAAAAAGUACAGCCAGGCGGCUAUACAUUUUUAAAAUAAAAAAAAUUGGAAAGAAUCGAGUUAUUUCUUUUUGAAAAAAUAGAAAAGAAUCUAGCAUAUGCAAUUGAUGCGUUUGUAAGUCCGUCGCAGCUUUAAAAAAAAACGUACGGUAGAUAGAUGAAAGAAGGGUGUGUGUGGAAACUUGAAGGGCAGAAAUAAAUCAUCAGACCUUAGCUUAGAGACAGAGUUGAAGGGGAGGAGGAGGAUGGGGGUCCACAACAAAGUAAACCUUAUCUGGUGCCAGCCAAUAGACUUGUGUACUAAAAGCUUGAAAAUCCAAACAAGUCUACUUGCAACACACGCUCACAAUUGGAUCUCUUCAAAAAUUCGAGUCCCCUGACCUGACCUGACCUGAGUGAGCAACCACAGUGAGAUAGAGAUAGAGAUAGAGAUAGAGAGGCUAUGGCUCAUUCACUAGCCUCACCACCACCACAACCACCGCCCGCUACCGCAACAACAACUAAGAACAACUCCUGUUUCCAAUCUUGUGUGGGUU
rnacentral:lncRNA from 1 species